AAAAAAAAAAAAAAAAAAAAAAAAAAAAAAAAAAAAAAAAAGAAAGAAAUAGAGAGAAGAUCGUCAGGAAGGAUUAUUUUCUUCAUGAUUUCUGAUCCGUUGCCAAACGGCGUUAAUGGAACAAGACCGGCAGCCGUCCGGUUUCAGUGCCGCUAUUGCGCGCGCGCUUGGAAUAACCCUUCAAAAUACUUUGGCGUAAAUUUAUCAGUGACGUCCGCCAAGUUGAAAAAUAUACCUACCUUCUCGUCUCUGCCAUUUCUCGCUACUGCUUUUGCUACCAAGAUCAACGUUAUAAUACUGGAUUCGUCCAAAUUCAAUGGGGGAAAAAAAAAAGAAAAAAAAAAAAGAAAUAAUAAUAAUAAUAAUAAUAAUGACAAGAAAAAGGGGGUAGAAAAAAAAGAAGAAGAAGAAAAAGAAGAUACUUUUGUUAUACCAAUCACAUUUCAAAUCUUCAAACAACAGGAUAAAUCACUUAAGUUAUUUAUUAACUUAUUAAUUUUAAUGGGAAUAUAAAUGGAAAGAAAGAAGAUUAAUAACGAACAUACAUUUAUAUAAUUAUGUAACACAUAUUAAACAUAAUAAUACGGAUAAAAGUUGUGGAAGCAGAUUGAUUACGCAACGUUUAAUUCAUAGCUCAAGCAGAUUUAUUAAACACACGAACGCACAUUUUCAAAUGAUAAUUCACGUUCAGAAUGACUGGGGCAGCUUAACAAAACUCAAAUAAUAUCGUAGUUAUCACAUUAUGUGCGAAGAACAAGAGCUCUUUGAGAUAAAAAAGAAGAGAGAAAGGGAGAAAGAAAAAGAGAGAGAGAGAGAGAGAGAGAGAGAGAAAAUAAUAUGUUAUUAUGAAGGUAUAAUUAAGAUCAUUAAUCGUUGCGAUCUCAAGUCGUCGCGAUGUUGCACCAGAACAACCCAUGAACCCUUAACAGAGAAAAGAAAAAAAUAAAAGGAAAAGAAAAAAAAGAAGGGAAAAAAGAAAAGAAAUAAAUAGGAAGAAGAGAUAAAAGGGUGAGAGUGAGAAAGGGGGAGGAUAAUGGCGACGAGGUCGAAGAGGAAAAAAAAGGAAAAAUAGAGAGAAAAAAAAAAAAAAAGAAAAGAAAAACGCAUCUCAACGAACGCGUUUCCGAUUCUCCCGUCGUUGGAAUGUUAAAUCGAAGACGUAGUUACGCAACACAUCCGAAUUCUUUUCGAGCAAGGUCACAGAUCUAGAAUGUGGAGGAAGAGUGAGGGCCUUUUUGGCUUCUACGUGGAAUAUCUUUGAAACGAAAGGAAAAGAAAAAAAGAAGAAAGAAAGAGAAAAAAAAUACGAGAGAAUGUAAACGUGAAUGGUUCGUAAAAAAAAAAACGAUGAAAAAAAAAAAAAAAAGAUAAAAAGAAUUGAUCCGAUCGACGAGGAAUCGAAUGAAUUCCAUCGAUCCCCAUUUAAAAGUAAUACCAAACAAACGUAGUCUCUCUCUCUCUCUCUUUCUCUCUCUCAUCUGUUAAAAGAAAAAGAUGAAUGAGAAAGGAGAGAAAAAAAAUUAAAAGGAAGAAAAGAAAAGAAAAGGAUAGAUAAGCAAAUGUCUUCAAAAUAACGUGAUAAGUGUCCUAUAAUAUAAAAGGUGUCUGUUAUGAAGGAUGUAAAUUUUGUUAUAAAAAAAAAAAAAAAAAAAAAAGAAGAAGAAAAAAAAAAGAAAAAAGAAGAGUAACAACAAAUCACAUUUACAUAGAAUGAGAAUGCCCUGUAUAAAAAAAAAAAAAAAAGAAAAAAAAAAAGAAGAAGAAAAAAAAAUCAAUAUCAAUAUUAUAGUAUAAUAACUCUUUGAAAUUAUUUUGUUUUAAGGUCUUACUGAAUAGCCAAAGGAUGAUAAACAUUAAUAGAACGUAGAGAUAACUUUAAGGAGAAACAUCAACGAUCAAAAGAGAUGAACAAAAAUAAAAAUCAAGAAGCAGCGAAAGAGAAAGAGAGAGAGAGAGAGAGAGAGAGAUAACAAGGUGAGGAAUAAGGAGGAGAUAAUAAAAGGAUAAAAGUAGUGGGAUAAGAAGACAGGGAAGAGAUGUAUCUCGCAGAGAAGUAUACUACAAGGCGUGUCUUGGUUGGAUAGUAUAUGUUGGCUACUCAACUCAAAGUAAAGGCGAUUACGUCAAAUCAAGACUCCAUACGAGAGGAUUUUUAACCCUAACGCCCUUUUCUCUUCUUCUUCUUCUUCUUCUUCUUUCCGAAGUAUACAGAUGAUACAACUUUUACAUACAUACAUUGUAACUACUGUUGAGAUCCCAUUGAAACUUACAUACAUAGGAUGCAAGAAGAAACGAUCUUGAGACCUGGCUAAAGGUCUCCGGCUACUAUAUAUUGAGAUACUUUAACCUGUCCGUAUCCUUAAUACGAGAUGUAUAUGGCCAUCGUUCGUCGACCAAAGCGAAGGAUUAUAAAAAGUAAGAAAGACGACGAAGACGCGAUAACAAAUCAUCAUUUCCAUCCGUUGUAACGUAGAUAUCGCACGUGAUAGCGAUGAAAAAUGACGACGACCGAUGAGAUAAUUAAUGAAUUAAUUGAGAUAAAAAUGAGUAAUCAGAUUUUGAUUAAUGUUACGAUAACAUUAAUGGGACGAGAAGUAUCUGUAAUCUUAGGAACGAUCGUCUCUCUUAAACAGGAGUGAAAUAACAAAAUAUAUCUCUCCGAUGAUUAACUAUUUAUUUCAGCGAGACAUUUAAAUUACAUCUAUUUUCUUCGAGAAUAAUAAUAAUGAUGAUGAUGAUGAUGAUGAUGAUGAUGAUGAUAAUGAUAACAACAGUGAUAAUAAUAACAAUAAUAAUAAUAAUAAUAAUAAUAAUAAUAAUAAUAAGGAUAAGGAAAUCGCCUUUGGUAUUACCUACAAACAAACAAAUAAACAACUUAACAAACAAACAAACUAGAACUCGCGCGUUAUUGUACGUUGUUAAAGAAAUUAUAUAUUGGAGUAUCUGAUUUCUUAAAAUCUUGAGCUACAUAAAAGUGGUAAGCAAGAGUAAACAAAAAAGGAUAUAUAAAAGAAGGAUGUAAUAAAGUUACUGAAUAAAGGAUAUUAUCGUGCAUAUAUCGAUUGAAAUACAAGGAAGGAUCGAAGAUAUAACCCCUUUCUCUGAUGUUAGAGAGAAGAAGCCCGAAGGCAACAGGAAGAAGAAGAAGAAGAAGAAGAAAAAAAAGAAAUCGAAGAAGUUUUUGUCACGAAUUGGAUGAAGAAAAUAAAAAGUAUAAAGGGAGAGUGUUGCAUCAAGAGGACCUUGACAUCGAGUGGUUAUCAGCUUGCUUUCUUCAAUACUACGCCAUUCUCCACCUCCAUCACCUCCACCUCCACCUUCUUCUCCUUCUCCUUCUCCUUCUCCUUCUCCUCCUUCUUCUUCUCUUUAGAGAAGAAACGACGCUUUGGAGUAGCCACACGUGCACGUUCGCGUCGAAAGUCGAUGCACACACGUUGCAUCGUACUACGUCUUACCAUACUGUACCAUUACUACGCCCUGAGUCUUGGGAUGAGAAGAAUGGGGAAAAAAGAAGAAUUCUUAAAACGGUGAAUCUACUGGUCUAUCUACUUCCCAUUACUUGAGUCGUCCUGACCGCGUCACCUCCUUCUAGAGAACCACAAAGUCAUCCCAGCCCAGUUGUAUUCCAAGUUUCAUCUUGACACUUCUCCCUCUUUAUACCAUGGAGGAUUUAUCUUCACGCCAUUAUUGAUAACGAUUAUAACGUGCCUCUUUAUAGAACGAUAGGAAUUAUUUGCGAAGACAACAAAGGUGGCAUAUAUGUACAUACAUACAUAUGUCAAUAUUUUAAAUAUAUUAUAUACAGGGUGAGUCGUGUAAAAAUUAUAUACAAUAUUAUUUAAUAACAUAAGAAUACUUUUUAACAGACGGAAUUGAGAAAAAUUUUGUUAUGUAUCAAAUAUAUAUUAUUAAUUUAAUAAUAUUAUAUAUGAUACAAAAUGAGUCAAAUAAAACUAGAUAUAGUAUUAAUAGUCACAAGGAUGACAUAAAUAUAUGUCGAUAUUUAAAUAUAUCAUAUACAAAAUUACACAAAUUA